GCCGCAGUGGCGGAACUGGCAGACGCGCAAGGUUUAGGACCUUGUGUCCUCACGGACGUAGGGGUUCAACUCCUCUCUGCGGCACAA
rnacentral:tRNA from 5 species